GACGAACGUUGGCGGCGUGCUUAACACAUGCAAGUCGAACGGAAAGGCCCUGCUUUUGUGGGGUGUUCGAGUGGCGAACGGGUGAGUAACACGUGAGUAACCUGCCCUUGACUUUGGGAUAACUUCAGGAAACUGGGGCUAAUACCGGAUAGGAGCUCCUGCUGCAUGGUGGGGGUUGGAAAGUUUCGGCGGUUGGGGAUGGACUCGCGGCUUAUCAGCUUGUUGGUGGGGUAGUGGCUUACCAAGGCUUUGACGGGUAGCCGGCCUGAGAGGGUGACCGGCCACAUUGGGACUGAGAUACGGCCCAGACUCCUACGGGAGGCAGCAGUGGGGAAUAUUGCACAAUGGGCGGAAGCCUGAUGCAGCAACGCCGCGUGCGGGAUGACGGCCUUCGGGUUGUAAACCGCUUUCGCCUGUGACGAAGCGUGAGUGACGGUAAUGGGUAAAGAAGCACCGGCUAACUACGUG
rnacentral:rRNA from 1 species